ACCAGUCACGUAAUGGUGGGAACUCUAAGGAGACUGACCGGUGACAAACCGGGAGGAAGGUGGGGAUGACGUCAAGUCAUCCAUGGCCCUUACGGCCAGGGCUACACACGUGCUACAAUGGUCGGUACAAAGGGUUGCCAAGCCGCGAGGUGGAGCUAAUCCCAUAAACCGAUCGUAGUCCGGAUCGCAGUCUGCAACUCGACUGCGUGAAGUCGGAAUCGCUAGUAAUCGUGAAUCAGAAUGUCACGGUGAAUACGUUCCCGGGCCUU
rnacentral:rRNA from 1 species